AUUGAACGCUGGCGGCAGGCUUAACACAUGCAAGUCGAGCGAGCGGCGGACGGGUGAGUUAUGUAUGGGAAUCUGCCUGAUGGAGGGGGUUAACUACUGGAAACGGUAGCCAAUACCGCAUACCAUCAGAUGUGCCCAGUUGGGAUUAGCUAGUGGGUGGGGUAAAGGAUCACCUAGGCGACGAUCCCUAGCUGGUCUGAGAGGAUGACCAGCCACACUGGAACUGAGACACGGUCCAGACUCCUACGGGAGGCAGCAGUGGGGAAUAUUGGACAAUGGGCGCAAGCCUGAUGCAGCCAUGCCGCGUGUGUGAAGAAGGCCUUCGGAUUGUAAAGCACUUUCAGCGAGGAGGCGUUACUCGCAGAAGAAGCACCGGCUAACUCCGUGCCAGCAGCCGCGGUAAUUC
rnacentral:rRNA from 1 species